AUGAUGACGUCUCUCUUAUUUCGGUUCUCCCAUGAGGUGAUCCCGUUUCUGUCCCUAGCGGUUUUGCAGCGACCUUGCAAGCAGCAGUCAAAGCCAUGGCUGUAUUUUAGGGCAUGGAAAAGCAGCUUCUUUAUUUUAUUCUCAGCUCCACGAAAGGCCUGGGGUUCUGAUGAUGGACUGUCUGGCAGUAAAACAGUUCAUACACAAGAUCAGCUUGGUGCACCCAAAGAUCAGAUUCCAUUACUGUGUGAAUGUGAAUGGCGCUGUGUCUGCGGAGACGUACUGGUGAGUAAGCAAGUGAUUGGAAUGCCCGUGUGACAGGUCGCGUAUCUACGAGAUGGGGCUACCUGGGCACUUCACACAGGCCAGCACUCGUAGGAACAUCGGCGUUGCCAGACUGGAUCAGACCUUAGGUCCAUCUGGCCUACUAUCCUAGCUCUAACAGUGCCCAACACCCAAUGCUUCCAAGGAAAAUCUAUCUAUAGCGACUGCGUGUGGGCAGGACAAGCAAGGCAAUGUUUGGAGGAAGAUGCAAGAACACCACAGUAAGCACAUGUGAGAAAAUCUGCCCCCAAACAGCUGGGCCAUGUCUACACUACAGGGACUAUAAUGGUAUAACUACAUCACUGUAGCUAUGCUGGCAUAGCCCCGUAGUGUAGACAAAGCCUACACCCAUGGAAGGGGUUUUUCCAUUGCUAUAGGAACAUCACCUCCCAGAGCAAUGGUAGCUAGGUGAUGUAGCUAUGUUGACCUACAUUUUAAGUAUAAGCUAGGCCUAGUCUCACCCUGAUCUCUAAUAGUUAGAGAUUGGCUUAAGCCCUGAGCGAGGAGGUUUAAGUAUCCCUGCCAAAAUUAUUGUCCUUCUUCAAGUCUUUGUCCAUGUGUAUCCCGCUCAUGGUGCAUAUGUGUCUCACCUGCAUGAAUGCACCAUGAGUGGGGUCCACAUGGACUAAGGAUCUGGGAAAACGACAGUUUUGUAAUGCAAGCAGACAUUCUUUCUCACUUACAAUGCGUACUUGGUAUAUUCUUGAUAUCAUUAUAAGCAUCUAAUCCCUGUUUGAUUUGUGCUCAGUUCUUAGCCGCAACACCACCCCGUGGCAGUAAAUCCAAUAGGCUGAUCACACGUUGUGUGAAAAAGGAUUUCCUUUUAUUGGUUUUGAAUCUCCCACCUUUCACUCUCACCAAAUGUCCCCUUGUCCCUGCAUCAGGAGACAGAGAGAACAGAAGCUCCUAUUCUCCCUUUUCUAGACCAGCCAUUAUAAUAGAAUUGUCUCAUCUUUGUCUCCUUUCUAAGAUAAGGAUUGGAGGAGCUGAGUGAGUUGCCUUAUUUUAAAAUGGUUUGGUGAUACUUAAAAGUGAUGCUUACUGGGUUGAAAUCCUGUCUUGUUAAUUUCUGCUCUCUAGUGGAGAGAAGAGAGAGAGUACAUGUGUACUGAAUGGAAUAAAGCUCCUUACUGACCAGAGACA
rnacentral:lncRNA from 1 species